rnacentral:rRNA from 1 species
AUGAACGCUGGCGGCGUGCCUAAUACACGCAAGUCGAGCGAACGGACGAGAAGCUUGCUUCUCUGAUGUUAGCGGCGGACGGGUGAGUAACACGUGGAUAACCUACCUAUAAGACUGGGAUAACUUCGGGAAACCGGAGCUAAUACCGGAUAAUAUUUUGAACCGCAUGGUUCAAAAGUGAAAGACGGUCUUGCUGUCACUUAUAGAUGGAUCCGCGCUGCAUUAGCUAGUUGGUAAGGUAACGGCUUACCAAGGCAACGAUGCAUAUCCGACCUGAGAGGGUGAUCGGCCACACUGGAACUGAGACACGGUCCAGACUCCUACGGGAGGCAGCAGUAGGGAAUCUUCCGCAAUGGGCGAAAGCCUGACGGAGCAACGCCGCGUGAGUGAUGAAGGUCUUCGGAUCGUAAAACUCUGUUAUUAGGGAAGAACAUAUGUGUAAGUAACUGUGCACAUCUUGACGGUACCUAAUCAGAAAGCCACGGCUAACUACGUG